rfam:Microgenomates (Woesebacteria) bacterium GW2011_GWA1_41_13b TT42_C0003, whole genome shotgun sequence.
GCGCGGGUGGCGGAAUGGUAUACGCGCACGCCUAAGGAGCGUGUAGAGCAAUCUGUGCAGGUCCAACUCCUGUCCCGCGCA